rnacentral:rRNA from 1 species
CCUACGGGCGGCAGCAGUGGGGAAUAUUGGACAAUGGGCGAAAGCCUGAUCCAGCCAUGCCGCGUGUGUGAAGAAGGCCUUCGGGUUGUAAAGCACUUUCAGUGGGGAAGAAAGCCUUGGGGCUAAUACCCUCGAGGAAGGACAUCACCCACAGAAGAAGCACCGGCUAACUCCGUGCCAGCAGCCGCGGUAAUACGGAGGGUGCGAGCGUUAAUCGGAAUUACUGGGCGUAAAGCGCGCGUAGGCGGUCUGAUAAGCCGGUUGUGAAAGCCCCGGGCUCAACCUGGGAACGGCAUCCGGAACUGUCAGGCUAGAGUGCAGGAGAGGAAGGUAGAAUUCCCGGUGUAGCGGUGAAAUGCGUAGAGAUCGGGAGGAAUACCAGUGGCGAAGGCGGCCGUCUGGACUGUAACUGACGCUGAUGUGCGAAAGCGUGGGGAGCAAACAGGAUUAGAUACCCUUGUAGUC